GUGGAGGAUAAAGGAGGACGGGAGAAGAGGGGCGAUCGACGGGGAGCCUCGCCCGAGAAGCUCUGUUCGGCGGGCAGCAAGGCGAUGGGGCAUGUCCAUGAGGGGCGGCGGCGCAUGAGGGGUGAGGGCAGAGGCGAGCGAGCGCUCGGGGCUGGUAGCAGCUACGCGUGGGCUUUUCCGGGCCCCAAUGGGAUCGGGCGGGCUUGCCCCGGGUCCGGGCGGGCCUAUCACAGUGGGAGGAGAAAGGAGGCGCAGUUGGGACAGGUGUCGACGCUAGUGUGGUUGCAGGAGGCGGCUAAGGUGGCUGGCUGGCUGGCGGCGGCACGCCAAGUGGCAACGGGGGACGGGCCGAUGCGGGAAAUGAAGUUGGGGUCGAAGGAGACUACAUUAGGCAUGGGAGGUCAUCUAUUUACAGCAAGGGAGGCUAUGGUUAGCUGAUUUAGUCCGUUUUUGGAUCGUUUGAUCGAUCGGACAGUCCGGAAGUGAAGAGGGUUGGGGUAGGCUUAGUGGGCUGUGUAGAUGGGGUUGGGCCAAGAAGAGAAGGAGGUUUUGCGGCCCGAGACACGAAUUUUAAAUACCGAAAUGUCCGAUAAUAAACCCGGCUAUAGUGUCGUCAUACAUUUAACGGUUCG
rnacentral:lncRNA from 1 species